GCCUAAGCCAAAGCCAAAGCCAGGCCAGUUCCAGCCAGCCAGCCAGCAGCGUUAAAGAAAAGCGUCAUUAUAAGUUUGCGAUACGUCAUUUUAAAUCCAUGAUGAGUAUGAGUACUAAAUUCGUGUUUAAUAAUAUUGAAGCCCCAGGCGAUGAGCAAACGUUAAAAGUGAGUAUAUCUAUAAACGCGUGCAUAAUGGUUUUCAUAAAUGAAGGUAUGCGAUUAGCAGUCUUAAUAAAAAGUACCUACCUAUUGUAUUUUUA